rnacentral:rRNA from 1 species
UGGGGAAUAUUGGACAAUGGGCGCAAUCCUGAUCCAGCCAUGCCGCGUGAGUGAUGAAGGCCCUAGGGUUGUAAAGCUCUUUCACCGGUGAAGAUAAUGACGGUAACCGGAGAAGAAGCCCCGGCUAACUUCGUGCCAGCAGCCGCGGUAAUACGAAGGGGGCUAGCGUUGUUCGGAUUUACUGGGCGUAAAGCGCACGUAGGCGGACUUUUAAGUCAGGGGUGAAAUCCCGGGGCUCAACCCCGGAACUGCCUUUGAUACUGGAAGUCUUGAGUAUGGUAGAGGUGAGUGGAAUUCCGAGUGUAGAGGUGAAAUUCGUAGAUAUUCGGAGGAACACCAGUGGCGAAGGCGGCUCACUGGACCAUUACUGACGCUGAGGUGCGAAAGCGUGGGGAGCAAACAGG